rnacentral:rRNA from 1 species
GUUUGAUCCUGGCUCAAAAUGAACGCUAUUAGUAUGCUUUACACAUGCGAGUCGAACGAAUUGAUUUUAAUUUUUUUCGUGGCGAACGGGUGAAAAACGCGUAAAAAACUGCCUUUUAGAUUAGUUAAAACAAAUCAGUAAAAUAAUUUUUUUUAUUGAGUAUUUUUGUUAAAUCUAUAUUUAUUAUUAAAAAAUUAAGUUAAUUAAUUUACUAAAAGAUGUUUUUGCGUAAGAUUAGGUUGUUGGUAAUUUAAAAGAUUACCAAGCCUACGAUCUUUAGUUGGUCUUAGAGGACGAUCAACCACACUGGAACUGAGACAAGGUCCAGGCUAAAUUUUUAGCCAGCAGUGAGGAAUAUUGGACAAUGAACGAAAGUUUGAUCCAGCAAUACUAGUUGAAUGAUGACGGCUAUUUUGGUUGUAAAAUUCUUUCAUUAAAAAUGAUAAUGACAUUAUUUAAAGAAGUUUUAGUCCCGGCUAAUCUCGUGCCAGCAGCCGCGGUAAUACGGGAGGGGCAAGCGUUAUUUGGAAUGACUGGGCGUAAAGGGUCCGUAGGCUGUAUUAUAAGUUAAAUGUUAAAUACUAAAGCUUAACUUUAGAAAAACAUUUAAUACUGUUAUACUUGAGUUUUAUUCAGAAAAGUAGAAUUUUAUGUUGAAGAGUAAUGACUAGAGACACAUAAAGGAAUAUCAAUAGCGAAAGCAACUUUUUAGUAAAAACUGACGUUGAGGGACGAAAGUGUAGGUAGCAAACAGAAUUAGAUACUCUGGUAGUCUACACUGUAAAUGCUGAGUGCUGUAAUUUAAGAAUUUAGAUUUUUUAAGCUAACGCUAUAAGCACUCCGCCUGAGGAGUACGGCCGCAAGGUUGGAACUCAAAGGAAUUGACGGGGGCCUACAACAAGUGGUGGAGCAUGUGGUUUAAUGCGAUAAUCCGCGCAAAACCUUACCAGUCUUUGAAUAAAUUAAUUUAUAUAAAAAAUUUAAAAUUUAUUAAAAUUUUUUUACAGGUGUUGCACGACUGUCGUCAGCUCGUGUCGUAAGAUGUUUGGUUAAUUCCUUUAACGAGCGCAACUUUUAUUUUUAUAUUAAUUUAUUUUAGUUAAAAAAUUUAUAAUCUUAUUUUUUUAAUUUUUAUAAAAAAACAGUCAAUGACAAAUUGAAGGAAGGAGAAAAUAAAGUCAAGUCACUGUGGCCCUUAUAGGCUGGGCUACACACGUGCUACAAUGAAAAUUACAGAAAGUUACAAAAGUAAAAACUUAAGUUAAUCUUUAAAAAUUUUCUAAGUUCGGAUUAUAAACUGAAACUCGUUUAUAUGAAGUUGGAAUCACUAGUAAUCGCAAAUCAGAACGUUGCGGUGAAUAUGUAUCUUGGCCUUGUACACACCGCCCGUCACAUGCGGAAAAUUAAUUUUAUUUGAAGUUUAAAUAUUAUAAAUUUUAAAAUUAAUAUAUUUUAAAAUUUAUAAAAAACCAUUGAGAAAUUAAUAAUUUGGAUGAAGUCGUAACAAGGUAGCUGUACGGGAACGUGUAGCUGGA